GUUUGUGGGAGGCCCGCUCGAGCGAGUUCUGCAAAGUAGGCAGUAUCAACGCUCGGCCAGCCUAUCACACCUCCAAAAAUCGCUGCGCUCUAUUUAGUAGGCGCUGUGAGCAGUUUCCACCGCUCACCUUGUUUUCCUUACUCAUUAGUUUAAGGCAAUUUGCUUCAGUAUUACUCUCACGUAUUUGAAGUCUCCCAAUUCCUUAAGGCGAAUAUCUUUCUGCAUUUGGGACUAAAGAACCGCAAGGAUUGAUUCUAACUAGAUGUUCAUGUAUUUUCAGCAUGUUUCCACUUAUCUCUUGUGAUAUUCUGCUAUGUACAGGGAUUUGAUGGAGGAAGGAUUGAAUCAUAGAGUGAUGAUUUUGCAGUAACGACCGAUUUUUGAACUUUUUUGUUGGAGAAUUAGGGUUUUGUUUAUGUGCAGCGGGUUUAAGGUCUUGUAAGCCUAUUUUGUGAAGGGGGAAAUGAAAGACAGUAGGCCUGUAAAACUGUGUUGGUGUUUGCAGGGAAAGAAGAAAGCUAAGUAUCAAGGUUGCGGAGGCCAUAUUGUCGGUUGCAUUGGGCGACAACCCGCUCCUCUGCACAAGACGUCAAAGGCAUCCUUGGCUCAGUUGGGUUUGAUUGCGAUGAUGAGAGAACAGAGCUUCGGUUGGGUUAACUGAAAGGAAAGGGCUUGGGAAGUAAUAAUGGUGGGAAGGGUGAAGUUUGUGUCCGUUCAGGUGAAGUUUUGGGUGUUCAGCCAAGAAGAUGCAUUAUAGCAUUUACGGUGGGAUGUUAUAUAGGUAAUUAAAGUUCUAAUUUUUAAUUUUUUAUUGAUGAAGAUUGCCGUUAUUCAUUUGAAAUAAUGGUAUAGUGAACAAGUUACAAAUGAUUUUUUAAGAUAAAAAAUCAAAAUUCUAUGAUGUACAAAAUUCUAUGAUGUAUUCUGAUAAUUAGAUAGUUGUUUCCUUCGGCUGUCUCUAUUGAAACUAAACUUUAAUUACAGAGGGCGAGUAGUUUCUGUUUGUAGCCAUAGUCUAGGUCAUGUUUUCUGUAAAUGGGUUUGAAAAUUGUGGCUUGUAAUACAGGGAUGGAUCGCUUUCA